GACAUAGGUCGCAAACGUUAUCCGGAAUUAUUGGGCGUAAAGGAUGCGUAGAUGGUUCAGUAAGUUACUGGUGGGAAAUCGAGGCUCAACCUCGUGGAAGUUAGUAAUACUGUUGAACUUGAGUGCAGGAGAGGUUAACGGAAUGGUUGUGGAGGGGUAAAAUCCAUAGAUAUGAACUGGAACAUCAAUAUGGCGAAAGCAGUUAACUAUUCUGUUACUGACAUUGAGGCAUGAAAAGCGUGGGGAGCAAAACGG
rnacentral:rRNA from 1 species